rnacentral:rRNA from 1 species
UACGUAGGGACCAAGCGUUGUUCGGAUUUAUUGGGCGUAAAGGGCGCGUAGGCGGCAAUUCAAGUCAUCUGUGAAAUCUCCGGGCUUAACCCGGAACGGUCAGAUGAUACUGCUUUGCUAGAGUGCGGAAGGGGCAAUCGGAAUUCUCGGUGUAGCGGUGAAAUGCGUAGAUAUCGAGAGGAACACCUGAGGUGAAGACGGGUUGCUGGGCCGACACUGACGCUGACAGUGCGAAAGCCAGGGGAGCAAACGGG